AAUCAACGCUGGCGGCGCGCUUAACACAUGCAAGUCGAACGAGAAAGGGAGCAAUCCUGAGUAAAGUGGCGCACUGGUGAGUAACACGUGGGUAAUCUACCUUCUGGUGGGGAAUAACUUUGGGAAACCGAAGCUAAUACCGCAUAAGACCGAGAGGUGAAAGGCGAAAGUUGCCGGAAGAGGAGCCCGCGGCUGAUUAGCUAGUUGGUAGGGUAAAGCCUACCAAGGCAGAGAUCGGUAGCCGGCCUGAGAGGGCACACGGCCACACUGGCACUGAAACACGGGCCAGACUCCUACGGGAGGCAGCAGUGGGAAUCUUGCACAAUGGGGGAAACCCUGAUGCAGCGACGCCGCGUGAGCGAUGAAGCCCUUCGGGGUGUAAAGCUCUUUCGGCAGGGACGAUAAUGACGGUACCUGAAGAAGAAGCUGCGGCUAACUACGUGCCAGCAGCCGCGGUAAU
rnacentral:rRNA from 1 species